GUAGAAUUGGACCUAUUUUAUCACAGUAGCAUGGCUGCGCCUGUUGGCAGGUUUGACAGCAGCAGUGCUGGAUUCCAGUAAAACAGGAGAAGAAGAAUUUCAGAGUGAGAUGAUCGGGCCUGCUUCCUGCUGAGCCGCAGAGGUGAUUUCCUGCUUUGUCAGAGCACUGCAUGUGACAUGGAGAUGUGCUGGUGUGUUGGGAGAGAUUGUUACUGAGAUGGAUACUGGAAAAGGCAUUAAAAUCUUCUGGAAACAGAGGAUAAAAUUGUCUUCUGCUCUUGAGGUUUUACACUCAAUGAAACAUCUUAACAUGGACCACUGUUUGGACUACCUUCCUCAUCUGAAUUGACCUUUUUUCACUUUUAGUAUCACACACAUUGCUGGAUGACCCCUAUCACCUUUGGCCACAUUUCCCAUUUUCCCUUUUCUCAUCCCAUCCAUUGUUUGACACUGUUAAA